GGAAUAUUAGAAAUGGACGAAAGUCUGAUCUAGCAACACCGCGUGUGCGAAGAAGGCCUUCGGGUUGUAAAGCACUUUUUGGAAGGAUUAGGAAGGAAUGUACUUCCAGAAUAAGUCUCGGCUAACUACGUGCCAGCAGCCGCGGUAACACGUAGGAGGCAAACGUUAUCCGGAUUUACUGGGCGUAAAGCGCGUGUAGGUGGUUCUGUAAGUAGGGCGUGAAAGCUCCUGGCUCAACUGGGAGAGGCCGUUCUAAACUGCAGAGCUAGAGGAUGGUAGAGGGAGGUGGAAUUCCGGGUGUAGCGGUGGAAUGCGCAGAUAUCCGGAGGAACACCAGUGGCGAAAGCGGCCUCCUGGACCAUUCCUGACACUCAGACGCGAAAGCUAGGGUAGCAAACGG
rnacentral:rRNA from 1 species